rnacentral:lncRNA from 1 species
UGACAAACAACUCAACCCAAUCUGGCAAAACACUCUAAAGCAAUUGGGCGCGAUCUUCCCCUUCAACGUGGGAUCCAAUAUCUGUGCAAUGGUCCCAUUUUGGUGACAGUAUCUAACCCAAUUCCCAAGCGACUCUUCUCUCGGCUCCGCCGUGCGGAUCAGAGGAGGACGAGCGCACAGUACCUCAAACAACACUACUCCGAAAGAGUACACGUCAGACUUUUCCGUCAAAUGUUGUCGUUUAUAAUACUCUGGAUCUAUAUACCCAAAGCUACCCUUCACAGGGGUGGUGCAGACAUUGGACUUGGAAUCGCCCGUGGGCCCAAUUCUGGAAAGCCCAAAGUCCGAAACCUUGGCUACCCAUUCCUCAUCCAACAAGAUGUUCGUGGUUUUCACGUCGCUGUGGAUGAUCGUGUAUGUUUGGGCGCAGCAGUGAAGAUAAUGCAGCGCGUGCGCUGCGUCGAUACAAAUCUGCAAGCGCCGCUUCCAUGGCAACGGAGGCUUGUCGCUGUUGUAGAGAUGCUCGCGGAGGUUGCCUCGUGCCAUGAAAUUAUAGACCAGGAUCAUCUCCUUGUUGCUGUUGCAGUAACCGAUAAGUGGAACGAUAUUGCGAUGGCGGAGCUGCGAGAGCAUCUCGAUCUCGUUCAGAAACUCUUCACUGCCCUGCUUUGAACCCGGUUUGUGGCGCUUAAUAGCCACCUCGAUCUCGUUUGAACCGGGUUUGAAGAGCUUGAGAGUCACCGGGAUGAAAAUUCUGCGGAUGAAGCCCCUGUACACGUGGCCGAAUCCCCCGACGCCGACGACGGAAGCGUCGUCGAAGUUGUUGGUGGCGGCUUUGAUCUCUACGAGGGAGAAGCGCAGGCAGAUGAGCGUGUUCACUGGCAGUUCUUCUGCAUCGGUUGACUGCUGGUGUGCAUUGGUUGACAGCUUGUGUGCAUUGGUUGAGAACGAGCGUGGAUUGAACAUGGAUCUUGCCCACCUAAAGACGAAACCAACAGACGAGACCGAGACCAAGACGAAUACCAUCCCUGCUAUGCUAAUUUUGUGUUUAUUCCUUCUCUUUUCGACUGAUAAGACGUUCCUUCUCUUUCCGACUGCCAUGCCAUUCCUUCUCUCUUCGAAUGCUAUGCCGUUCUGCGCGUUUGGUCCGGCGAGGAUGUUGGAGUCGCUGAUUUUGAAGAUCUCGAGGCCAUUCAAGCACGGAUUGCUCGAAUUCAAAUAAGGGUGCAAUUGGAGCGAGAGAUUAACCUUUUCCUGAGUAUCAUUUUUGGGAAUCAAAACGACGAAGUUUCUCUGCACAGCGAGACCCUUAAGUUGGUUGCUCCAUCUCAAAACUUCAGCGUGAUCCUCAGCCAAGUCGCUCCCUAUGUAAACGCAGAACACCCUGUCACCGAUGUUAGUGAUGUUCUGAUCAAGUUCACAAAAAUGGAGCCUAACCAAGUAGUAGAAACCAGAGUCAACGGGGAAGUUCCAAGUCAACUUAGGAGAUCUCUUGGUGAUACGCUCUGUUCUGUACAGUACCUUGGGUGCCACCGAACCAUGGUGCAGGGUUAUGUUCAUCUCACCAUUAUUGUUAGGAUUUUUUUCUUUGAUUAAAUAAUGUUCGUCACCGGCGACCAGGUUUCUGAACAAACCGGUGUCCUUUGGCGGCGAAAUUCCUUGAACUCCAACUUUGACUCUAUACUGUGCGUGCAGAGCAGUGUCGGAUGUAACGCGGUACAAGGUGUGGGUUCCGACGAGCUUGAAGCCCGCAUGAUGUGGUGAAGUGUAAUAGAGAUCGGUUGGGAUAGAAAACACCUGGAUUCCGUUGAUGAGAGCGUGGGAGUUAGGUUGUGAGGGAGUGAAGCUGAGGUUGAGCGUCUCACCGUUGUCAACGUUGACCACGUAUUCUCUGAAGAUCGUUUCCGUGUCAUCCUCGUCGGUGCUGAAACCGUAGAAGAGGGUGAAAUGGUUGCAAUGAACGGUGAAGGAUGCUUGUGUAGAAGGAAAGGAAGGGUAAGAAGCGGGGUAGAAGAAGAGGCGAAGGAAAUAGGAACCUGGGGUUACGGGGAAGGAGUAAUUGAAUUGGGAACGAGAGAUGCGUGCUGUGGUGUAGGGUAGUUGAAGGGUGGAAUUAGAUUGUGGUGGUGUUGGGUUAGCGGAAACGGUGCUGUCUUGAUGAGACAAGAACAUCGAAGCUGUGUCCCCUGUCCAUGUUGUUUCACCGUCGUAGGAUGUUCCAGUGCUGCCGCAAUUGAUUGUGAAAUUGUUGACUGGAGUGUAGGCUUGGAGGUUCGUAAAGAGUGUAAAGAGGUGGAGGAGGAAGAGUUUUAAGGCGGUGAUACUGCUGAACCUCAUUAUGAACUAAUCUGAGAGACUGGGUGAAGUUGUACUAUGAACACUUAAUUUUCUCAUUCAGAACAAUCUUGUAGCAGUAGAAAAGAAGCAAUGAAGACACGAAGGUUCCUUGUUAACUAACCUGAAAGACUGGUGAAGUUGUCUUAUGAACACUUAAUUUUCUAAUUCACAAAAAGCUUGUAGUAGUUGCUAAGAAGCGAAGAAGACACGAAGAUUCCUUGCACUGCAAGUUUAAGUAUGAACAUCUAGUCUAAUCAUGCUCAUACAGUAACAUUUCAAUUUUUAUUAAAUAUCCAUCUAACACUAGUUGCUAUACAUUUUAUUUAUUUAUUUAAAGUGAAUCACCUACUAAAUUAAAAGUAUUCUUGAGUUUAUAGAUAUUGUGUGAUUUUUUUUACUUUAAAUAUAAAAUAAUUUAGGAUGAAUCAAUUAGUAAAGUAAGAAUAUUAUUAUUUUAUUAGAUAUAUUAAGCGUAUAAAGAAAUUGAAUGAUGUACAUGUAGCUUUUUUCUAAUCUAAUAUAGUGAAAAUUCUUUAGGGUACACAGAGAUAAACCCGUAAAUGUUCUAAUGUGUUUUCGUAUUUAGAAAUUUAUUAUUUAAACUAACAUUUAAGGUUUAGAGUUUAGGGGUGAAAAGUGUCAAUUUAUCUAUAUUUUUUAUUUUUAUUAUUAUUACAUAUGUAUUUAUAUUUGUUAUUAAAAAGUUUGCAUACUCAAAAUCCAACAUAAUAGAGAUAAUAAUGAAAAGGGUUAAUUUGAAUGGUUGAAAAAUUAUACAUUUAAAAUGAGAGAGGAGACAGAUAAUAAACCAUUAAAAAAAUGAACACAAAUAAAAAUGAGAGUUAUUAUGGCAUGCAAAUCAAUGCAAACUCUCCUUAUUUUGGGUAAGUAAUGUAAGCAACAACUUCACACUCAUUCUUUUUUUCUUUUUUUUUUUAUAGUGCACACUGCUCUUAGACGUGCGUCGAUUGUGACUACGUUGUUACUAUUGUAGAGAUCUAAGUCUUGAUAUUCUUCAAACUCAACAUUCACGAUCCCGUCGAAUCUUUCCACGAUAGUAUGAUAAUCUCUAUUUUAACUUGUUCGACCUUUUCUGAUAGAAGAAGGGAACUUGCGUUUGAGAGUAAACAUAAGAGUGGAGAGUUAAAAUAUUUUUGAAACAUAAAAUAAGAAAUUAAAAUGGGGCAAAAUUUAUGUACAACAAAAACGAUUUUUAAAAGAAAUCAUCUUUAUACAUAGUUAUAUAAAAGAUGAAGAUACGUCAAAAUAUAUACUUUUUAUCUACCUUUUUUUCUAUCUCUUAAUACCUUGGUUUGCACUUGUUGAUAAUAACUAGUCAACCUUUUUUUUCAACGUUUUCCAACAUAAUGUAUUGGGAGACUCUUUAUCAUAAUAUAAAUACAGAUCUAUUUAAAAAAAACUCUUUGACGAUGAUGACGUAAAUAAGAUUUAAAUAAUAAAAAUAUUAUUAAGAGUACUGUAAAUAAAAAAAUUAUUAUUUUCUUUAAUAUGGAUAUUUUUAUAAAGAUUUUAUAGUAUUUUUUAAUAAGAUAAGUAUGAAUAAAAUUAUAUAUGGUUAAAUUUGUUUAGAUAUUUUGUUGAGUUAGCAUGCAUGUAAAUUACAAUUAGAAAACAAACAAUCAAAUUAAGGUUUUACAGAAUAAGUUGACAUGAGUGAAAACACACAUAGCAACAAGCUUACUAAAAUGUUAGACUUAGAAUUUUUUAACUGGAAUUGCUUGUUUUCAUCCCCUUAUUUCUGGUUCGAUACAAUACAAAUAUUAUUUUAUGGAGCCAGUUUUACCAGAUUAUAUGUUUGAUUCACAACUACAAAUGUGUAACACUAGUUACCAGAAUAUCUUUAAAUGUGUAAGUGACUUUUGUAGGAAUAUACAUGUUUUAAACAGAUUGGAAAGUGUUUUAAGAUUCGCACUGAGCAUAAAAAUUUAAUUUAACCACUAUUUCACGUCUUGCUCUAAUUUUUAACAUCCACCUACCAUGAUACAAGUUCUAUUUUGUGUUCAUAAUUGAUCCCGCCUGUUGACCAGAACAUUGGAGCUUUGCCUCGUCAAACUUGGAUCGACGUAUGCGCCGCGUUCGUCUUCGUCCUUCGCCGUGAUCCACCUCAAGAACCUGCAAAAGAACAGAACGGCGCCACUGCGGCCGAUCGCACUCCAACGCCCAAGUCAGUGACCGAACCACCAAUUACUAAGAGUAACACUCAAGAACUCUCAAGGAACCGUGAACCAGUUCUCUCUCAGCAUACUCAAGAACUCGCAAGCGUAAAGAAGACAAUAUGAACGUGCGUACCUCAGAAGUUCGUUGAGAAACUCUUAUAUACCUGGACACUUUCUCUCUCCUAGCAGUUACACACCUGGACACAUGGCUUGCAUCCAGCUGUACACGUGCCUUCAUCUGGAGCAUCCUUGACUUGGGCGCUACUUCUGACUCUCCUUUGGCUAAGUUACUUAUGCAUGAUACUACUCAGUGCAUGGUUGUCUUGGAGCGCGAUCUCUACUGGAUUGGCGAGUUAGGGUGCCUUCGUACACACCUUCCCUGUGGUCUCGCCGGCCGCCUUCAUAAUCUGCACCACCUGUUCCACCGUUUAUGCCCGAGUAAGCUGUCCCCCGACCUCAUCCUCUGGCCAGCUGGGAAGCAUCCAUCUGCCUUCAUCUUCGGCGAUGUCCUUGCUUUGGCGAUCUCUAAUCACUUGGUCGCCUAGAUUCAUAUCUGACGACUUCAUCUUCAACUUGGUGACCGCCGGUAUUGGUGUGAUGGAGAUCGGAGCAUGCCAACUUAAUAACUGGCGAGUACGCGAACCCCCCGACCUCCUUCCCUUCUGCCAACCAGGUGUACCAUCCAACACGCCUAUAUCACAGCUCGACGCCACGUCAUUACUUCCGACUACCAGGGCGGUACACAAGCCCCCCAGUCUUAAGCGAAGACUUGUCCAGCGAAAAGACUAAAGGAGUUAUGUCAAUACCGAUCUACGUGGCGCUGGCGCAGAAUUCCAAGCGGUUGUACUUUCUGCUUUCCUGACGCUCCACCAAACACUCCUCUAAUCGCUCGACACGUGGCUUCAUCAACGGUUACCUUUAAUUGUCGUUUGCGCUUCCAAAACUCAUUCGAAAAACCCCUUAAACCCAUUUCUCUUCUACUGUUCCAUCACUUCUUCGUUUUCUCAAACGCUUCAAGUUUCUUCUGCAAAAGCUCACGACGUUCUUCAACCCCCUGAAUCAUCAACUUCCUUCAUUGUUCUUCCAAUCAUAAAAAGGUACCCCCUUUACUUCUUCUGCUGAUUUUUCCUGCAUUUUAACCGAUUCGCAUCAUCCAUUAACUGUCUGGUGCAUACGCUGUGGGCUGUUUUUUCUGUUUCUCCCUUCUCGUAACUUAGGGCUUCGUCUUCGUUACAACGAGCCUUCGUUCGUUCGUUUUUCACCCUUCUUUCACGAUCAAGUUAGCCUCUUCGAACCCUGAUCACCUUUUCUUUUCUUCUUCAUUUGCAGCUUCCGCGAUGACUCGCUCAAAGAUCACCCCAAAUCCUCCUCCCUCGUCACGAAACCCUUCAUCUCAAGCUCACAACCCACCGCGAGCACCUGGUGCUUAUUCUUCCCAGGCUGAGAGGCCUGCAACCUCCCGCCCUAACCCUGCUCAGGCUACUCCACCUGUCGCCGGAGGAGCCUUCGUUCCUUCCCCAGACUUCAAAAAAUUAUACCCAUGGGCCACCCCGACCUUGUUGAAGGAAACCUCCUCAGUGAACUCUGCUGGGGCAAUUCUUCGAUUGAAGAAAGGGGAAGAGCCUCAACUGUCGUUCCACAAGGAGCAUGACGACAAGAUGAUGGUGCUACCUUGCCCCCCCCCCCGACAUGCCGGUGUGCGCUGACGACAAAGGGAACAACGACGGGUUGUUCUGCUUCGUAUACACCACCCUGUUCAAGAAGGUGAAACUUAGGUUUCCCUUCACUCGUUUUGAAAGGGAGCUACUUACCGAGCUCGACAUCGCCGCCGCCCAGCUCCAUCCCAACAGCUGGGCGUUCGUGCGGGCGUUCCAAAUCAUGUGCGCACAUUUGGGGCUGCCAGCGUCAGUGGACGUCUUUCUUUUCCUCUUUGAAGCUAAACACCCAGGAGAUCGCCUGUGGGUGAGUCUAAACGGGAUUGCUGGGAGGUCGAUCUUCUCCAUCUUCCAGCAAUCCUACAAGGAUUGGAAGGGCAAGUUCGUCCAGGUGCGCCCAAACGACAAGGACGCCUCACUGCUCGACGGUUUCCCCUUGUAUUGGGUAAACAAGGGGAAUAAAGAGUCCAAGGGUAGCUUCAGGAGGCCAAGGAGCCCCGACAACAUGGGAGCCCUGGACAAAGAUCUAUGCCUCUUCUGGAAGAGCGUGGCAGAUCUCAACAUUACCUUCCUUACCACCGCGCUCAUCUCCUUCGAAUUCUUCGAAGAUCAACUCGAGGCUCGCAUAGGUUAGCGCUUCAGCGUUUAAGUUUUUGCCUUGCCAUUCCUCUGUUAACUGUUGCUGGGCGUCCUGUGUGUUGUACACAAGACUUUGGUUUUAUUUUCUGCACCCCUUAUCUGCUUUCUUGCAUACUGACUUAUGCGUUUUUCUCUCUCUCUGAACUGACCCAUGUUUCUUUGCAUCAUGCAGACCUCAUGUUGGGCAAGGGAAAGCUGGCUGAGUUGAGGGCACUCGCCCGAGUCCAUGGGUUGGCGUCGGGUUCCCAAACCGUGCCAAACUUCGUGGUGGAGAUCGCCGCCGCCCAGGGGAGAUCGCCCCCUAAAGGCCCAGCACCUUCGGCUGCCCAGCCCGCCCAACAGCAGCGCAAAAAGCUUAUCCUCAGGAAACCAAAGAGGAAAGCCCUCCAAGUGGUCCAUGAGGAAGAAGAAGAAGACGAUGAGGCGAUUGAAGAUGGCCUCAUCACCAAGAGGAAGAGGGUGGCGCCUUCUUCACCAUCUGCUCCACCUCCUCCUCCAACAUCAACACCACCUUCCACACCCGCUCCGCCUCCAACACUGCUUCCUCCACCAGCCCCCGCCUCGCCAGUCCAAGCGGUUCCUCCGGCAUCCGCACUUCCUGUGGUUGAGGCCGCCGAAGCUAACUUCAUGGAGAACCCCCCGAGCGCCUCCACGCCCUAUGUAUCAGCGGGAGGGGGUCCUCCUUCAAACACCUCAACCGCAAAUGCUGCACCAGUCGGGGAUGAGGGUGCUCACAAUUCGCCUAUCCUUAUCACUGAAUCCCCGACGUCGCCACCACGCCAAGAAGCACCCAUUGAACAACCAACUCAAGAAGGUGGCGGCGAGAACCAACAACAAGCCCACCCGGUGCCUCCACAAGCAAACCUCUCUCUUGAGGUCAAGAGGGUGUGGGAGCCCUUCUCAGCAAAACUGAAGAUGAUGGCGGAGGAUUUCCCCUCCAUCAUAUCUAAAGCUGUGGAGAGUUCCACCAAGAAGCUCCAGGAUGACAUCUUCACACUCCGAGCUGAGAAUCACUCUAUCAGGAUCGAGGCGGAGAGGUUAUCCUGCAACCUAACACUCACCGAGAUUGAUCACUCUCGAGUGGAAGAUGCCAUGAGCACUGAGCUCCGGGUGGCACGCAAGGAGGCCACCGAUCUACGACAUAAGGUGCAACUUUUGGCUCAAGAGAAGAUCGAGCUGGAGAGCAAGCUGGUACCUUAUCGCGUCAAAGUGGCUGACCUGGAGGAGUUGAUCAAAGCAGACGCCGCCAAGGUAAAGAACCUUGAGAAAAGGUCAGCCGAUCGGGAGGUCUUCUUGGGGAAGGUGGAGAAGGAGAGAGACGACACCGUGGCCAAGCUCGCUGAAGCCAACGAAGAGAACGGGAAGAUCGCCGCAGAGCUGGCCCAGGUGCAGGCAGAAUCCAAGAAGGUUACUGAAGACCUUCUUCAAGCUCGGGAAGCAGUUGAAGAACUUAAGAAACAAGCUGAAGAGCUGAAGCAACAGAACGAGGGGCUAAAGAAACAGAUCGAAGAACUUGAGCUGAGCUCUGCCCAGAUUCUUGCUGCUGGAUUCGAGGCUGCCCGAGAACAGUUCGCCUGCAUGUACCCCGAUUUGGAUCUUACCAUGGUGUCUCUCAACAACGAGGUGGUGGAUGGGAAGGUUGUUCCUUCUGAAGAUUGAUUGGCUUCCCUCCAUCCAUUAUUCCUUUGUCUCUCUCUUAUACUUGUAAUAAACUCUCUCUUUAUUUGUACAUGUGUCUCGAACUGAUUAUACCUUAUGAUAAAGUCUUUGUACUUCUUCUUAUAACUUCUCUGUCUGCUUUGUCUCUUCUUGCACAAUUCACUUCAACGAAAUUAACUUAGUAACUUCGUAGGCGUAAUUAUAUACUACCUGCUACGAACCAUCAGCUUUCGAACAAUAACACUCUAACAACUUGUAACUUCAGGGUAAUGAACCUUAGCGUAAAAUCGCUCUUCAAAUAACGAACUUCAACUCAACUAAUGGCUUAAGACUCCGCUCAUCUAAUCUGCCUUAUCAAAACGGGUCUUGACUUCCUCGUUACUGCUUGAAUUUCUCCUGGUCGCCAAUGACUCUUGGCAAUAUCAACUUCCUCCUGGCUUCACAACUUGGCCACUGUUCCUUUAUCUGGUGGUAGAGGCGCCUUUCGGAUCCUUCUCUACCUCCCUGAGCUUCAGAACAAAAGACCGGGUGGCUAGGCGUUCUCUUCGAACCUACCCUAGCCACCCUCCAAACUUCUUCUACCCUUCACACCAUACCUGAACUCGUUCAAGACGAGAAGGAUUUUCUCUUGCCUGAACUCGCUCAUCGGCGAGAAGGUCUUUAACUCGCCUGAACUCGCUCAUCAGCGAGAAGGUCUUUUAUCUCGCCUGAACUCGCUCAUCGGCGAGAAGGUCUUUAUCUCGUGCCUCUACAUUGCCCUAGGGGGUACAUCUUCUCUCCUCCAGAAACACUGAGGACUUUUGUUGGUGCCUCUACAUUGCCCCAGGGGUUACAUCUCCUCUCCCCCAGAAACACUGAGGACCUUUUGCUCUUCCUCGCCUGCAUUCGCUCGACGGCGAGGAGGUCUUUAUCUCGCCUCAGGACGCGCGAGGGCGUUGAGGUCUUUUAACUGGUGCCUCCGACCGCCGAAAGACGAUGAGGACUUUAACUUUAACUGAUGCCGCCAAUCGCCGAAAGACGAUGGGGACUUAGAAACUUUCUAGAAAGCAUGCAAUAUAUCUUUAACUUGCCUCAAAUCACAUAUAAGUGACAAGGUCUUUCUUCAAAACUUUCGGAAAACAACAAGCAUGCAAUCUAAAACAACUUUAAGCUUCGAAAACUCUUCUUUAUUGGGUGGCCUCAUUAAAAACCCUCCUUAGGGAAAAAAGAGUGCCCCCUUCAAACUGUUUUAACAGAAACAUUGUAAUAUAACUUCGUGUUUUUCUGUACUUACAAAGUUCUUAACUGUAAUAUAACUUGAGGUGCGUGGCGUUCCAAGUGCGAGGAAUCGCCCUUCCUUCCAAUGUUUCUAAACAGUAGGCACCGUUCCCGAGCGCCUCGGUUAUUCUGAACGGUCCCGUCCACUUAGGCGACAGCUUAUUCUCCAUCUCGUACUGGUGGGCUUUCCUCACCACAGGUCCGCCUCCCUGAACUGUCUGGCCUCCCCCUCGAGUUAUAUCUUCAUUCAAUCCUUCUCUUCACCGCCUCAACUUUCNNNNNNNNNNNNNNNNNNNNNNNNNNNNNNNNNNNNNNNNNNNNNNNNNNNNNNNNNNNNNNNNNNNNNNNNNNNNNNNNNNNNNNNNNNNNNNNNNNNNUUCAACCUUCUCUCCUCAUUCGAGUCUUCCUCCACGAAGUUCUGGAAUCUCGGCGAGCUCUCCUGGAUCUCUACUGGAAUCAUUGCGUCGCACCCAAAGACCAAGCUGAACGGGGUCUCAUGGAUGCCAGACUGCUCGAUGGUGUGGUACGCCCAAACUAUACGGGGUACCUCUUCAGCCCAACUUCCUUUGGCUUUCUCUAGCCUUCUCUUCAAACCUCUUAGCAACACCCGAUUGGCUGACUCUACUUGGCCAUUCGUCUGAGGGUGCUCGACGGAUGCAAACACUUGUUGAAUUCCCACCCCUUCGCACAGCUUCUUCAACAGGUGACUUGCAAACUGAGUCUCAUUGUCCGACACCAGGCGCUUGGGCACACCAAACCGGCACACAAUGUUCUUCCACACGAAACCCUCAAUCUUGUGUGUGGUGAUCUGGGCCACUGGUUCUGCUUCGAUCCACUUGGUGAAAUAUUCAAUCGCCACUACCAAGUACUUCAUCUGCCUGAUCGCCAGGGGAAACGGUCCCAGGAUGUCGAUUCCCCAUGUAUGAAACGGCCAAGGGCUGUAAAUCGAUUUCAACUCCUCGGGAGGCGCCUUGUGCUAAUCGGCGUGCUGUUGGCAUUGUUUGCAGCACUGCGCAUACCUCUUGCAAUCUUCUCUCAUUGUUGGCCAGUAGUAACCUGCACGGAGAGUCCUUGCGGCCAGAGCUCGACCCCCGACGUGGCUUCCGCAUAUCCCUUCAUGGAACUCUGCCAUAAUUCUUGUACAUUUUUCCCCGUGCACACAUUCCAGGAGUGGGUGAGUGAACCCAAACCUGUACAGCUCGCCAUCAAUCAUUGUGAACUUGCUAGAAUUCUUCUUUACCUUUCUAGCCUCCGUCGGAUCCAGCGGGAGAAGGCCAUCCGCCAGGCAUCGCUUGUACUGUGUUACCCAGGUGUCUGGCUCAUGCGUAGCGCAGACCUGCGUCAUGUUCACCCUCUCCCCCCGACAUGCUCUUAUUCUUGGCGACCUCAAAGUCUCUUGAAUCAGGGACCUAUGACUUCUCGCCGCUUUCUCCGUCGACUUGCUUAUCUGAAGAACCAGGUGAUCUGCCACAAAUGCUCUCGGCGUCUUCAGAGUUUCUUGAAUCACCGUCCUCUGCCUACCCCCCUUGCCUGAACUGGCGAGCUUAGCUAGCAAGUCAGCUCGGGCAUUCUGCUCUCUGGGCACAUGCACCACUUCAAAGGAGGCAAAGGAACUCUUCAAUUCCUGUACAUACUCGAGGUAAGCCGCCAUUUGUGGAUCUUUAGCCUGGAACUUUCCUGUUACUUGCCCCGUGACCAACAGCGAGUCACUCUUAGCCAUCAGCACCCUGGCUCCCAUCUCCUUAGCCAGCAAGAUACCGGCGAUCAGCGCCUCAUAUUCUGCUUGAUUAUUGCUGGCCUUGAAGGCAAACCUCAAGCAUUGUUCGAUCUGCACGCCAUUGGGUCCCUCCAAGAUGACUCCAGCACCGCUACCCUGCUGGUUCGACGAUCCGUCCACUGAAAGCACCCAACGAAAAUCAUCCCCCUCAACUCGUGCUGCUUCAGACGAGAGCUCGACCACAAAAUCUGCGAAGAUCUGCCCCUUGAUCGGGCCUCGGGGCUCAUACUUAAUAUCAAACUCCGGCAGCUCCACUGCCCACUUCACCAUCCUCCCAGCAACGUCAGGCUUCUUCAAGACCUUCUGGAUGGGCAAGUCGGUCAUCACCAGUAUCGUGAAGCUAUGGAAAUAGUGGCGUAACCUCCUCGCCGAAAAGACUACUGCCAGUGCAGCCUUCUCCAGGGCCUGAUACCUCAUUUCGGGGCCCUGCAGCACCUUACUAACAAAGUAAAUGGGUUUUUGAGCCUGAUCUUGGUCGUGGGCGAGCACCGAACUCACCGCCCUCUCAGUUACAGCAAAAUACAACCUGAGAGGGGUCCCCACCAGCGGUUUACACAAAACCGAUGGGCUCGCCAAAUACUCCUUCAGCUUGACGAAGACUUCUUCACACUCCUUCGUCCAGGCAAACUUGUUAUUCCGCCUUAAGCACUGAAAAUACGGAUGACCCUUCUCUCCACUAGCGGACACGAAACGAGACAGGGCGGCCAUCCGACCUGUAAGCUGUUGCACUUCCUUCACUGUAGCCGGGCUCCUCAUCGCCAAAAUGGCAGCGCACUUAUCAGGGUUGGCUUCUAUUCCUCUUUCAGUUAGGAGAAAUCCCAGGAACUUCCCAGCCUCCACGCCAAAGAUGCACUUCUCGGGAUUCAGCUUCAACUUAAACUUGGCGAUCGUAGUGAAUAACUCCUCCAAAUCCGCAACGUGCUUGCUCUUCUCCGGCGAGGUCACGACCAUGUCAUCCACGUACGCUUGCACAUUCCUUCCCAGCAUGGGUGCAAGUACUCGAUCCAUCAGCCUCUGGUACGUGGCCCCCGCGUUCUUCAGCCCAAACGGCAUCAUCUUGUAGCAGUAGCACGAUCUCUCGGUCAUGAAGGCAGUCUUCUCUUCAUCCAUGGGAUGCAUCUUGAUCUGGUUAUACCCCGAGAAGGCAUCCAGGAAACUUAACAACUUACACCCUGCAGCACUGUCCACCAGGGCGUCUAUGCUUGGUAAAGGAUAUGAGUCCUUCGGGCAAGCCUUAAUCAGAUCAGUGAAAUCGACGCACAUGCGCCAUUUCCCAUUACUCUUUUUCACCAGCACGACAUUGGCCAGCCAAUCAGGGUACUGCACCUCCCUGAUAUGGCCUGCAGCGAGGAGUUUCUGUGUUUCGUCUCUGAUCGCCUGCCUCCUCUCCUCGUUGAACUUCCUUCUCCUCUGUCGUACUGGUCUUACCUGACUGUCCAUCGCCAAAUGAUGGCACAAGAAGUCGGGGUCGAUCCCGGGCAUGUCCGAAGCGGACCAUGCAAACGCAUCCAGAUGCCGCUCUAUCACCUUAGCGAUCUGGUCUUGGAGCUCAACCUCCAGAGAUCUUCCCAGCUUGAAGAUCUUUCCUCCGAUCUCUCUUUUGAGCCACUGCUCGACGGGUUUUGGUCUGGUUUCUCUGGCGAUCACCGCCCUGGCGAUUCCCAACUCCCUCGCUUCCUCAGGACGAUUCCGCGCCUCUUCUUCCUCCAGACCGGCGUUCCCCUCCCCUAGCUCAGCAUCCACCAUUACCACGUCAUUCCCGGCGGUCUCUUCUAUUACCGUCGAUCUGGGCUUCACACCAGGAGGCGGGGUGGUUGUCACAUAACUCACCGACCUCUUGUUCUUCAGGCUAUUCUCAUAGCACUUCUUCGCUUCUUUCUGGUCGGAUUUGAUGGUGAUCACCACCCUUUCCAUAGACGGCAGCUUCACCUUCAUGUGUCGGGUCGACGGUAUAGCACCUAUUCUGUUGAGCGUGGGUCUUCCCAGCAGAAUGUUGUAUGCUGAAGGGGCGUUCACGACAAGGUACUUGAUUUUCUCUGUUCUCGAACCAGCCUCAUCUGUAAACGUGGUCCUCAAUUCAAUGUACCCCCUGACCUCCACCUGGUCACCAGCGAACCCAUACAAACACCCUCCAUAGGGCCUCAGCUGGUCAAGGGGUAGCUCCAACUGCGUGAAAGUCGGCCAGAACAUCACAUCUGCCGAGCUUCCUUGGUCCACCAGAACCCUGUGGACCUUCCUUCCUGCUGUGAUCAGCGAGAUGACUAUGGGGUCGUUGUCGUGGGGCACAACGUCCCGAAGAUCUUGCUUGGUGAACGUAAUGUCCACAUCCGGCAAGUGGUCUUCAAACAUAUCCACCGUCAUCACAGACCUCGCGUACUUCUUCCUCUGUGAUGCGAUGCAUCCACCACCUGAGAAACCUCCUGCAAUGGUGUGGAUUUCUCCGUGGGUAGGCAUCUCGUGCUGCUGAGCCUCUCCACCUGCUGGUUGGGAGCUCGACGCGCCCCCGUCCUUCUGUCCAGCAAGUAGUCGUUUAGGAACCCGCUCUUGACCAGAUCGUCGAGCUGGUAUCCUAAAGCCAAACACGAAUCCACGGUGUGGCCAAAGCCCUGGUGGAACUCACACCAGGCGUCUGGCUUUGGUCCCAGCACCUUGUCGCCCACCUUCUCGGGCGCUUUCAACCUAGCUGAUAUAUUGGGAAUGACGAUCAGGUCCGCCAAUCCCAUGACAAACUUGUGCUUAGGUGGGCGAUUAUACUCCCGGCGUGCUGGUUGCGGGCGUCCUUGGCCCCUGCCCUUGUUCUUCCUUGGGUCAUAAGGAUGACGAGUCCUCUGAUCCCUCCUGGCCGCCGCUGUCUCCAGCACCCUCUGCGGCUGGAUCCUGGUCUGGGCACGUGGCCUGGCGGGAGCCACGCUGCCCCUCUUCUCGGCGACUUCACUCUCAUCGGCGAUGUGGGCCACCGCAAGCCGCCUGACCUCAGCAAACGUGGCAGGGUGAGCCCUGAUCAAUNNNNNNNNNNNNNNNNNNNNNNNNNNNNNNNNNNNNNNNNNNNNNNNNNNNNNNNNNNNNNNNNNNNNNNNNNNNNNNNNNNNNNNNNNNNNNNNNNNNNCCGGCGAGCAGACCAUCUGCGCCCCAAAACGAUUCAGGUAGUCCCUGAGGGACUCUCCCUGAUACUGCCUUAUGUCAAACAAAUCGUAAGACACCCUGGGCGGUGCCUUGUUCACGAUGUACUGCUCGAUGAAGAUCUUUGAAAACUGUUGGAAGUUGGUUAUGUGACCUGUAGGCAGGCUCACAAACCAUUCCAGCGCCGUUCCCUGGAGUGUGCUCACAAACAUCUUGCAGUACACGGCGUCUGAUCCUCCUGGCAGCAUCAUCUGCGUAUGGAACGUGGUGAGAUGUGCUUCGGGAUCCUCCACGCCGGUAAAAACAGCUUUCACAGGCACCACGCUCGUAGGGAUAGGCUUGUCGGUAAUCGCCUGAGCGAAAGGCAUAGGAAAAACACGAGGCGGCGUUGACGGCGCGACCUCUUCAGCGACUGGGCGCCCUCGCUGUUCCUGAAGAGCUUGACGCAGUUCUUCAGUUACUUUGCUAAGCUCGUCAUUCCUGGCCCGAGAGGCGACCAGGUCCUCGUGCAUUCUUUCCUGCUCUAUGCGCGAGGCCUCCACAUUCGCCUGCAGCGAACGCAUAAUUUCCACCAUCUGCGCCAUAGUCAUGGCGCCUUCAGCAGCAACGGGCGCAACUGAACUUGAACGGUUGCUUCUCAUUUUUCUCAUGAAAACUUGACGAAUCACAGAGAGUAAUGAACAACACCUCCUUCAGCGACGAUCGAUUCAGCGAUCAAUCGGUCUGAACUUCGCGAAACUUCGAAAGAAACCUCAAGAACACGGCGAACUUCCACAGAAACCUGCAACUCCACCAAAAACCAGCACUUCUUCCACGAAAAUCCAAACGAGCCAAAGAACUCAGAUCUCACCGAACAAAAUCCGCGCAAUCAGCAGAAAACUUCACCUCACCGAACAAAAACCCAAACGAACGGUGGAAAACGCGAAAUUACCGAACAAAUCCUAAAUGAACAGCGGGCAAUGGUUGCACCAGCACACAACCACACAGAAAACUGCAAAAACCUCCAAGAACUCACGCUGUGGAUGGGAACAGGUUUUACACGGCCCCACGGUGGGCGCCUGAUGAUCCCGCCUGUUGACCAGAACGCUGGAGCUUUGCCUCGUCAAACUUGGAUCGACGUAUGCGCCGCGUUCGCCUCCGUCCUUCGCCGUGAUCCACCUCAAGAACCUGCAAAAGAACAGAACGGCGCCGCUGCGGCCGAUCGCACUCCAACGCCCAAGUCAGUGACCGAACCACCAAUUACUAAGAGUAACACUCAAGAACUCUCAAGGAACCGUGAACCAGUUCUCUCUCAGCAUACUCAAGAACUCGCAAGCGUAAAGAAGACAAUAUGAACGUGCGUACCUCAGAAGUUCGUUGAGAAACUCUUAUAUACCUGGACACUUUCUCUCUCCUAGCAGUUACACACCUGGACACAUGGCUUGCAUCCAGCUGUACACGUGCCUUCAUCUGGAGCAUCCUUGACUUGGGCGCUACUUCUGACUCUCCUUUGGCUAAGUUACUUAUGCAUGAUACUACUCAGUGCAUGGUUGUCUUGGAGCGCAAUCUCUACUGGAUUGGCGAGUUAGGGUGCCUUCGUACACACCUUCCCUGUGGUCUCGCCGGCCGCCUUCAUAAUCUGCACCACCUGUUCCACCGUUUAUGCCCGAGUAAGCUGUCCCCCGACCUCAUCCUCUGGCCAGCUGGGAAGCAUCCAUCUGCCUUCAUCUUCAGCGAUGUCCUUGCUUUGGCGAUCUCUAAUCACUUGGUCGCCUGGAUUCAUAUAUGACGACUUCAUCUUCAACUUGGUGACCGCCGGUAUUGGUGUGAUGGAGAUCGGAGCACGCCAACUUAAUAACUGGCGAGUACGCGAACCCCCCGACCUCCUUCCCUUCUGCCAACUAGGUGUACCAUCCAACACGCCUAUAUCACAGCUCGACGCCAUGUCAUUACUUCCGACUACCAGGGCGGUACAAUAAUCAUUCUGAGUUUGUUUGGCAUUGGUCUCACUCCAAUGAUCCCAUCCCCUGAACUCUCUGGAUCCCCGUCCAUGUCCUUCAUUAUAAUACUCUAUAUAAUCCUUCAUUAUUGAACAUUGAAUAACCCUUUUUUUGAAUGAUUGUCCUUAAAUGAAAAGGAUUAUAAGCUAAUAAGGAAAUUUAUAAAUCAUUAUAUAAUAUUUUAUACAAGGUUUACAACUAGAGAUAACAAUAUUUGAAUUGUGCUAAUUUUGGAUACAAGAGCAAAUGUGAUGGAGGGUCAUCCAAAUACACACCAAUAAAGGUAGAAGCACUAUUUCUAUAAAUAAAGUAAAAUACUUUUGUAUAUGAUUUUUAUUUGUAACAUACUUUUAAAUGCAUGUUGUAAAGAUAUCAAAGACACUCUAGGAGAUCCUUACUUGUCGGACAAGCAAGAAUGUCUAGAGCAUCUUAAAAGGACAUAUAGGUCACUGUUUAAGCGACCAAUCCUACAUCAAAAUUAUAUCAAAAUGUUUCAAUGUAAUGUAUUCCAUAUGCUUGUGUACAUCCCUUUACCACUAAUCUAGCUUUGAAUCUGCCAAUUGUAUCAUCUACAUUAAAUCUCAUAGAAUGCAUCGAUCGACAUCCUACUAAUUUUCAUUUUUAUUUUUUUACAAGGAUCUCAUCUCUCAUUCAUGGCAUGCUUCCAUUUAGAGUCAAAGCUUCCUGCACAAUAUAUAAUUGCUUAUAGAUGUGAUAGUUGAGUUAGUCAAAUUCUAAUUAUAAAUGUAAUUACUUUAUCUUACCGUUGAAGUCAGGAUUAUAGUAGGUUUAAGGGUACCUUUAUGACACGAUUUGGAAAAGUUCUUUUUUCUAUAUCAGGUUCUUGAGGAGAAGAUAUGUUUUUUGCAUUAGUUUCUUGAGGGGACGAAUGAUGUAUAUAUCAUCAACAUCAACAUUCAAACUUUCGAUAUCAUGCUCAAAUUCUUCCUUAUUCUGUGAUUAUUGACCAAUCAAAUUAUUGCACACUCUUAACUUUGUUACUCUUUGUUUUCAAUAUAGACUCACUAUCAACUUCUUGUUAAACAAAAUAUGAAUUUCAUCAUGAUUUUUCUCCUGAAUCUCAACUCGAAGAGAAAAUAUAUCAACUACUCAGAAAAAAAAAAAAAACUACAGUAGUAAACAUUUGCUUGAUAUGUAGAUUGUAGCACCACUAUUUUUUUGUGAUAAGCAUUACUAAGGAAUACAAGGAAAAAACUUACUUUUCUUAUAUGAUCGUGUAAAUUAACUUAAGCCACACAAUAAAAAACUGUGUUAAUUGAGCAAUUCUAGAACUUACUAGUGGACAUAUAUGUAUUUGUAAGUGAUUGAAAAAACAUUUUAUACUAAGAAACCUAGAUGGUGUUUAUUUGAUACUGUACCUUCAUAUUGAACUACCAUUGAAAUUCCAAUAAUUUAAAUACAGACAAUCAGAAAAAAGAAGUCCUAAUACCAAAUUGUUCACUCUAUAUUUUUUCAUUCAUAUAAUUUAUAAAUAGACUUAAACAAAUCUAUAAUUCUAUAAAUUAUGACUAAAUUAAGAAAGAUAUGAAUAUAAAAUAUUUUAUAAAAAUCUAUAAUUUAAUCAAUUAAAUAUCUUAUCAAUAAAAAUUAGAAAAAAAAAAUCAACAAGAAUUACAUAAAGAAAUCAACCGUAAUAAAAUUUCUGACUUUGUUAAAACAGUCGUAUUAUACUCGUCUCAUCAAAAUCGUUAAUCGUAGAAAUGAAGAAGUGAUUCAAUUGGCUAACUAGACAAUGGGUUUUGGCUAUCAGAGUUUGCCUCGCUAAUGUCUGCACUUUCUUGUAGUUGCAGGGCAUAUAUAAGCAUCCCAACGACGUCGUUCAUGGACGGUCUCUGCUCCCCAAUAUCUGACAAACAACUCAACCCAAUCUCGCAAAACAUUAUAAAGCAUUUGAGCGCGAUCUUCCCCUUCAAGGUGGGAUCCAAUAUCUGUGCCAUGGUCCCAUUUUGGUAACAGUAUCUAACCCAAUUCCCAAGCGACUCUUCUCUCGGCUCCGCCGUGCGGAUCAGAGGAGGACGAGCGCACAGUACCUCAAACAACACUACUCCGAAAGAGU